CACAAGAUGGCCUGAUUUUCUGUGCGUGUUGACUUAAGCUCUUACAGGAGGUUGGGUGGGGCGGGCGUGGCAGGACCACAGGGCUCCAGCGGCCGCUGAGCUUUCCUGAUUUUCUGCCAGAGGCCCUCGGUGGGGGAGGGCGAGGUUCCCAGUUGGGGCCAAGCCCUUCUCUGUUACCUCCAGGACGUAGGAGUUCGUGAUUCUGUUGGCUAUUACACUCUUUGGGCAUGUGAAGACAACUGGCCUUUCAUUCCUCUGAGCUCCAUCCUUCCUUGGCAUGUUGGAGAAGGAAGAUGACCACAAGGCCCACCUCGUGCAGCAUCUUAGAUCUAAUUAGGUACUCAAAACGAGUGAACAGUUUGAAACCAACAAAUUCCAAGAUGCAGAAGUGUGCCAAGCCUCUUGACAACUUUGGGAGGAGGAAAUCUGAUGCUCAGGAGAACUUCAGGCUUUUGGGAACUCUAGCACUUGGGAAAUGCUAUCCACCAGGCAUGAUGGGUGCAUCAGAGGGAGCCCAGGACUGGGAGCCAGAGGUCCAUGCAUUCAUCUGGUUCUGCUGUGGAAUUGUGAGUGACCUUGAUCUUGGUACUCCCCUCUCUAGACCAUGUUUCCU
rnacentral:lncRNA from 1 species